GCCCUGGGGCUGCAAGGCUUCGCCGAUCUGGCGGAGCGGCUGCAGGAUGAACGCAAUCUGGCCCUGGUGUGCAAGGCGCUGCCCAGGCUGCC
rnacentral:tRNA from 1 species